UAGCAUUAACAUUAAUCAUCAUCUCUCACACUUUUUUAAGUUCUACCUAAUGAAGAUACUGGAACAAAACAAGCCUUGGAUUUCAGAGCUUGAGCUUCAACACCCAAGAUCAAUCCUUGCGAAAUUAAGGUGUAGUGCCAUGAGUAACCGCCCAAAAAAGAGGAAACUACAAGAGUAAGACGUAUCACAGGAAGCGAGACCUUCUGGGCAUAUUAUGAGCUUCAUUUUCCCUUAGCCGUCGGAUGGAGCAACUGAGUGCCACGAUCAUAGCCUUUUUCUCUUUUGUCGCUCUCCGCUUUCCCAGUUUGAAGCCAUUGGUCGGAGGAAACAGUGCUGGAAUGAAGAAAACACGACGAGGAAUGGAGGACACAACGCCGGAAAUUGAUGGAGCAAAGCACGGUGAUGAGCCCUAACUAUGCGACGACGAGGAAUGGAGGAAAUGGCGGCUGGAAUGGAGGAAACAUGACGAAAAAUGGAGGUCACGGAGGCAGAAUCCUAUGUAUUCGACGGAGAGAGAAGGAGAUUUAGAGAAGAGACAGACGGAAGUGAAUUGUUCAAAUGAGGGAAAGAGAAGACCCACCUCAUUUUAAUUAAGCAAAAUGACCAAUAUACC